UACAGAGGUCCCAAGCGUUGUUCGGAAUCACUGGGUUUAAAGGGUGCGUAGGCGGCUAUGUAAGUCCGUUGUGAAAUACCUCGGCUUAACCGAAGGAAGUGCGAUUGAUACUGCGUAGCUUGAAUCAGGAUGAGGUAGGCGGAAUGUGACAUGUAGCGGUGAAAUGCUUAGAUAUGUCAUAGAACACCGAUUGCGAAGGCAGCUUACUGGGCUUUGAUUGACGCUGAGGCACGAAAGCGUGGGGAGCAAACAGG
rnacentral:rRNA from 1 species